rnacentral:piRNA from 1 species
UGGUCAAUCUGAAAUGUAUUG